GACGAACGCUGGCGGCGUGCUUAACACAUGCAAGUCGAACGGUGAUGCGGAGCUUGCUCCGCGGAUCAGUGGCGAACGGGUGAGUAACACGUGAGUAACCUGCCCUGGACUCUGGGAUAAGCGUUGGAAACGACGUCUAAUACCGGAUAUGACUUCGGAACGCAUGUUCUGGAGUGGAAAGAAUUUCGGUCUGGGAUGGACUCGCGGCCUAUCAGCUUGUUGGUGGGGUGAUGGCCUACCAAGGCGACGACGGGUAGCCGGCCUGAGAGGGUGACCGGCCACACUGGGACUGAGACACGGCCCAGACUCCUACGGGAGGCAGCAGUGGGGAAUAUUGCACAAUGGGCGCAAGCCUGAUGCAGCAACGCCGCGUGAGGGAUGACGGCCUUCGGGUUGUAAACCUCUUUUGGCAGGGAAGAAGCGAAAGUGACGGUACCUGCAGAAAAAGCACCGGCUAACUACGUGCCAGCCGCCGCAGUAACAC
rnacentral:rRNA from 1 species